UCGGUCGUGCGAGUUGCUACGAUGUGUUUGUUUGAUCGUGUUUUUGCGUUUGGUGUAAUGAAUUGUGACUUAGUUCGCGUGCACAAAAGUGCCAGAAGAUAGCUUGUGUCUCGCUGCAUACUCGCGGUAUGCGUGGUGCGCCAGGCAAACGUGGACCAACGAUUUUCAUGCCAUGGAGUGCGUUCCCUUUGUCCGUGGUGGUUGUGGAGAGUUCGGUGGACGCCGCAAAGAAAUGAUGCGCAUUAUUAGCGUUCCGCAGGUCGUCCACUACGCAACUGCACGUAUGCGGGAAUAACUUUGCAGCUCCGGCAACUUGGAGGGCGCUUUUCGACCGCAUCGUACCAUUUAAAAGUGGCAAGGCCGUGACCAACAACAGUGUCCACGUCAGGGAGGAGCUAUGGCUGCAGCAGCACUGUGUGUAAUCGGAUGGUCUGGUCAGGUACAGAUUGGUGUGGGAUUUGUGAUGCCACUCAACAAGUGGCAUUACAUAUUCAAGUCUGCUUCCGACGGAAAGUGCCCAUUAGAGGUGGCAUGGCACCUGUGGACACCAGUGCAAGCAGGUGAAAGCAGCCUGACUGGACAGGCCUGCCGAACAAUGUGCCGCGCAUCUGGGAAGCUUCCGGCAACACCGGAGAAAGUGGCUGCUUUGAAAAGUAAGUCAACAGUCACCUCAUUUAAGAAACAUAACUGCAUAUCUGCAAGUUAUCUGAAUGAGUUAGCAUUACAUGAUGUAUACAGAGCGACAAGAAAUGCCAAAGCAAGAAUGAGGCAAGUGCCUAUAUAUUAUAUCUUUUUCUUCUGCUGUAUAUGCACUGUGUCUCGACACACAAUUUAAAUGUCUCUGUGCGUAUGAAAAGCAGCACAAGAUAAUUUCGGGAUAUGGGUUUCCUGCGAAAACCGCCCACAAAG